CCUCGGGCGGCAGCAGUGGGGGAUAUUGCACAAUGGGGGAAACCCUGAUGCAGCGACGCCGCGUGUGGGAAGACGGUCCUCUUGAUUGUAAACCACUGUCCCCAGGGACGUAAAUGACGGUACCUGGGGAGGAAGCUCCGGCUAACUACGUGCCAGCGGCCGAGGUUAUACGUAGGGAGCGAGCGUUGUCCGGAGUUACUGGGUGUAAGGGGAGCGUAGGCGGGGAUGCAAGUUGGGUGUCAAAACUACCGGCUCAACUGGUAGUCGCACUCAAAACUGCAGCUCUUGAGUGAAGUAGAGGCAGGCGGAAUUCCUAGUGUAGCGGUGAAAUGCGUAGAUAUUAGGAGGAACACCAGUGGCGAAGGCGGCCUGCUGGGCUUUUACUGACGCUGAGGCUCGAAAGUGUGGGGAGCAAACAGGAUUAGAUACCCCAGUAGUC
rnacentral:rRNA from 1 species